GUAUUCCAAUGGGUGCUGAAGUUAAGCUUUAAGCUAAGGAAGUUCCAAGUUUUCUGUCUAGCUGAGAUCAUUCUCCUAAAGCUUGCCCAAAGCUUCAAGAACAAAGAGAAAAGCCACAGGAUCCAGAGAAACUUGAUAUUUCUCAUGUUUAAAAGCCUUAACCUUUGCUGGAGGUUGUCGCCUUCUCUCACCCGUCCUCCCUCUGGGUGGGAGGAUGCUACAGAGCAGCCGAGCGGGAGCCCCGUGCACAGGGCACAACCUCAGGGAGGGGAAAGAAGACAGGAGGUCGCUGGGACUCUGUGGCAGAUGAAAUAGGGCACGAGGGCAGACAGCAGCAGAAUGAAACCAGCAUCUCUGCUGUGGGGGCCAGCUCCAUGCAGAAGACAAUUAAAAGAGCAAAUUAAUUCAGAAUAGCUCUGGGUUUGGAGAUGACUCUUCUGGAAUAAAAGGGUCUCUUCUCUUAGCGUGUGCUAAGCAAAGGAACAGGUAACAGGAAGCAUUCCCACCAAUUUUUCAUGUAGACAAACCCUUGAUUCAUAUCCAUGAUUUCCACAACAUUUUCACAGUCAGUAGCAAGACGCUCUUUCCAAUAGAACCGUGCUCCAUCUUCUUUUCUGCCAGUACCAUAGAAGGUGGCUGCGUCAUUUUAUGCUACAAAACAUAUUUUCAUAUUUCAAAAACUAAUGCAACAAGAUUCUUAAUUGCACAAUGCUGGCAGAACAAAUAGUUCAAAAUCUUGUGUUUAAAGUGACUUCUUGAUUUAAAUCAUAGGACCGGACGAUAAGACUUGCUAAUUGAAAGGCGACUGUCUGCUUGGUUUUCAUCUUCUGUCCUGCUGGAAACUAAAGAGUAGAGGCAAUCCUGAGAGGUGUAUUAUCCUAGGAUUCCCUUGCUGGCUUCAUCCUCAAGGUGAGGUGAUUUGUGUUUGGUUGCCUAUCUUCAGUUACAGCUGCUCUAUCUACUGAGUCUCAGCCCUCACAAUAAUGACAAAUGAACCUCCAUGCCCACCUUUGCACCCAGCCGGUUUCAUAUCAGGUAGUUUCACUGCCCACACGUUGGUUAGAUAAAAGAAGAGUCUUCGGCUCUUUUGCAAUCCUCUUACCUCCUCAGAAACCUUCUGCAAUCUGCAUUGUCUUGAACAAAGGGUGAGCUAAAAUAUGAGUGGGACACUUCAUUAUAACCUCUGGCUGCGCAAUGAGUCACACCUGUGAUUUUGAAAUGCAAAAUAAUAAAUUAAGAGGGCAGUAGUGAGAUAGAGCUGACAAACUGAUAAUAAAAAUACUGGGCAACUUGUCAACUUCAGCUGAGUAACCAAAGAAAGACACUUUCUGCCAAGCACAGGCAAUUGAAAGGCUCUCUUUGCUGCACUGUUGUCAUGUUGAGGCCAACGGCAAAGUCUAUAGAUCAAUAAAAUGUAAACACUGACGAUAUUUUCUAGAGCCAACUUUUCUUUUUGUCCUCCUGGAGAAGAAAGGUUGGCAUCUAGGAGUAUGAAAGUAGUGAGAGAUGGGAGUAUUUGCUUUGCUGUGUGUUUGCGCCAACUGAAUAAUCUCUGACUUAGUUUACCUAAAUGUAGACUACUUUUUAAAUGGGAUUAGAAAAGUUUAACUACAGUUAGCCUGGUCCUCAGAGGGAAUGCACUGAUAAAUAUUCUUUUUUUAUCAUACACCGUCCUUCACACUAGCCAUUAAACUCUUUUCUUAGCUUGCUUCAUUUGCUCGGUGGUACAAGCCUGUGCCAUGCAGGGUAGGCUCACAACGCUGAGCCAACCCCAUACAGCAGCACAGAGCCGCAACGUACCCCCAACAAGUCAGUACGCAACUCCGUAAACAAGCUUUGCAGAAGAAGGUACAACCAACUGCCAUCCUCCUACCAUCAUCUCAGUUCAGCAACAGUAUAAUGCCCUUUACAUAGCAAUGUCUUUUUCAGAAAACAGCAACAACAAAAACCACCUAAGCCUUGAGUGGUAGGGAAUCAGAAUUCCCAUAGGAUAAAAUGCCCUUCCCCAGGAAAAGAAGAAAAAAGGGGAAAGACUUGUCACCAACUUGUCUUCUUUUCUAGGUGAUUAUAUGAAAGGGUUUUUGCUACCAGGAAGGCAGGCUCCUCUGUUGUUUUGGGCAAAGAGCUCACUCUCUUUGUCUACGAGUAAGAAUGCUCUCGGUGUUUCUUGGGAGAAAGGUGGGGCUGCAGCUGUGUAAGUGAGAUGCGCACGUGGAGGUCUGGCAUGAUCCAAAAUCGUCAUCAGGACAAAAACAUCCCCAAACUGAAAACUUCUCAAUGGAGUAAAAUCUCCACUGAAAUCACAUACAAAAAAUUAAUCUCAGCAGCAAGGUGGGAAAACUCUUACAGUGCUUGCAAUCAUAAGAUUUCUGGUUUAAGACUGCAAUCUGCAGACUUUUUCUCUUUUCCUGUUGUUCCGGUCAUUGUGGUGUUGGGGAAUGGACAUUCUGGUAUGAGACAGAACUGAUGCGUUGCUUGUAACUGGGCAAAGUAUGGGGUAUUUUAUUUCUUGGGUGCAGGAACUCUUUGCUUUUGAGCACUGCUGACACAAAGCACUGGAGUUUUCUCCCACCGAUACAAUUCCACACUCAGUUUCAUGAUGUGACAUCUUGGCUGAGCCUGGGUAUACAACAAUGUCUGAAAAAACAACAUUUCCAGCCAAUGACAGCAGUGAAUGAGCUGCCAAGGAUGAACCCAUUUGGUCCAGCUGUGAGCUGGAGGAUGGUUCAUGGCAGUGGGUGGGUGAUUUCCCUGUGUGUACAAGCACCUCUGAUCCAACUAGCACCAUUCCGCUUGUCAUUUUUCUGUCUUCAGUUUCAGACUUUGUCAGCUGUUGGCUUGCCAGGUACUGGAUACUGCAAUGACAAAUACAGAUCUAGAUUGCGUCUAGCUGGCAAGGGGAGCAUGCCAUUUUUAGCAGGAAGUAUAUCUUUUUAUAUUGCAGCAAGAUAAUGUAUGUAUUACAAGUAGAUCAGCACUGCUUUGAGGGAUUUGAGGCCAUGGGGCAGUCUGUAGCUCAGUGUCAUUCACAACCUCAUGUUGAUACUACAUCCUGUGAUAGUACGUCUGUGUCCAUGCUUUGUAAAAGCAGCUUGCAGUAAGUGAAUCUGGCACUCAGCAAGGAAGAAGCUUGAGCCAUCUUCUUGGCCAUACGGUGGCAAUGGAAAGGUGAACAGGGUAGACGGUGGUUUCUAUAUUGAAUUCUUGGCAUUGCUCAGCCUUGGUUCUGCUCUGUUAUUUUACCCAGACAAAAACUUAAGAGUUGUGAACCCUGCCUGGAUGACCACCCCCACCUCCUCAAACACGUAUUUGGACUUAGCAAAGUGGGACCUAGAAGAGCCUAUCAGGCGCUUUUCUGUAGAGUAUAACUUCUCUGAAAAUAUCAUGGCUACUAUUGCAACCUGUUAUCUUUAAUUCCUUGGUCUGAAUGAUGUACUUCUUUACAACCAGGAGUAUCCACCAGCAUGUCCAGAGAGAGACUUGAAUUCAUACUUUUAGCUAUGCCGUGAGACUUCUCUGUUUCUCUGCAGCUGCUGCUGGCUAGGGAACACACAGAGCAAGCAAGAUGCUGCCUUCCGUCACCAAGGUCAGCGUGUUCUUACUAGUCAAUAGCUGGUGGCAGCCCCUGGAGGCUGGACAUGGUUCUCACUGCAGCACCGGGGACUGAACAUGGAAAGCACCUGGCUACUGUGGCAACACGGGUUGUAAACAAAUAGAGACUUGGCUGGGAGUUGCCGCCACAAUCCAGUACGGCAUGCAGAAGUCUGAUCUACAAAGCAAGCACCUCCUAUUUCUAAGGAAAACUCAACAGUUGUCCCUGCACGGUUUUGUUUCCAGCGGAGUUACACCCAGUCGAGUGCCAGUUUGGGAUGAUUUGCUGGCAUGAUGCAAUGUUCUCAUCCUGGGAUCAGACUGGUCUUAACCCAGGAUUUUAUGCAAAUCCAAGGCUGGAGGAAGCUAGAGCAUGGAAUAAGAAAAUCCCAGUGAUCAAGGUUGCUGAUAAAAGCAACCGCCUUCAGCCGGUGAGCAGCACCGCCCACAGACGGGCUUCGGGCUGGGCAGAGGCUGAGGCGGCUGAUGACAGUCCGGCAUGGUGUGUGCCUGUCGCCUGAGAGCAUAACAGGAUGUUGUCCCAGCCCACGCACAGGAUAGCUCCCUCUGAGACAAGCAGCAAGCCAUGCCAAAAACGUGGACAGAUGCAAACAUACAUUACACACCGUGCGCAGGGAGUCCUGGGGCAGCCGUGCUAAUCUCGUAGCUGCACGGGCCGGGUGGAGUGGCUGAGUGUAGGCACAGUGCAACCCUCCAUGUUCCGUGGCUUGCUAGAUGUGCCCUGUUCAGUGCAUUAUGCCUACUUUCUACUGUGGACAACGCUUGGGAAUGAAGAAGGUCUCUGUGGUGACUGUGUCUCCUACCCACUUACAGACACUGGUCUCAGAGCACUUGUUGUGGAGUCCCUCGAGUGAGAGGGAACCUACCCUAGUUAUCCCAGUUAUUAGGAGUGGAAGCAUGUCCCCCACUGUUUCAUGCCAGCUGAGAAAAUGCUUUCAGAUAGAAGCAUCUUGUCUCCCCGACUUGAUGCACAGGUGCAAGUAGUAGAAAGCACUACAACUGCAGAAACAACUACCAGACAUUGCAGUCCUUGAUGAUUACUCUUCCUAGCCUUCCCCAGUGUGCUACAGAGGCUUGACGGCUGCUCAGCAAUGCCAGCCACAGUCCUACCUGCGCAAGGCUCUUGGUAUCUGGUAGCAAUGUGACUAACAGUGAAUUGCGGGUUCUGUCAUUUAUAAUUCCCAGAAACUUUCUCCCGGAGGGAGUCACGGCGCGGGGUUGCAAUGGCAAGUAUUUUGCCAAUUAAGCAAGUGAACAGCCCUAUGUUGCUGGUUGACAUUUAGAGCGGAGCAGACAGAUUGGAGGAAGAUGUUGAAACCUUGUUUAUGUUGGCAGUGGAUGGGUUGCGAAAAAGCCCUAAGAGAAAGUAACAAACAAAGGGUGUGUCUUGAAAGGAGCUGAGUUCAGAAACCUUUGCACAAUGGUAGGCAACACGUGCAAAAGCCAGGUGAUUCAGAACUGCCUUUCCUACGCUCUUGUGACCUAAAUCCCCAACAAAAGGGACUAGUGUGUGCAAAUAUGACGAGAAGCACCUGGCUCUGGAUGGGAUCAGGUAUUUGGAAUGGUUGCUUCCAGGAAGAGCUCUUACUCUUACUGUGGUAUUACAGAACUGCAGAGCUCGGGCACAUGGUGCGUUUUAGCGUGUGUUUAAGCCCCAGGGAUUGUCUAAGAUCAGAGUCGGGGCUAGUGGCCAGUAUUUUUAAUCUGUGUGUGGCUGGUUUCUUCUAGAUAAAGUACUCUUACGUCGCCUCUUGGAAGUAGACCCUGUAUGAGUUUUUAGAUUCUUUCAGUGUUUUGGUCAAAAUAGGAAACAGCUUGUGGCUGGGGAGCAGAGGCUUACUACUCUGCAUGAGUUUGAUGCUUUAAGAAGAUUUUCUCAGCUCCAGGCCUCUAGAAGAGCUGUGCAGGCAGAAUCAGUACUACCUGUCACUUCAGGGAAAAUGUCCUUUGCAACUUCUUUUGGAGCUCUAAGAGUUAAGCACAGGCAUUCCGUGGUCCUUCAUUUCAACCCACAAUAUUAAUUACUCUUCCACCUGCCAUGGGAGCUCCCCUAUAGCACAGUGCUGUGUCAUUUCACAUCCCACCCAUGAAAGUUUUCUAAGCCCAUGUUAUUUCCUGGAGGAGUGUUUGUGAAAUGACCGUGAGUAUUUAAAUCCCCCCGGGGACCUUUGAUAGGUCGGUCCCAGCUUCCUACCUCUUUGGACAGCCUUUCUCUCAUCUUGCAUGACAAGAUGAGAUCGCACACACGAUGCUGACUCAACGCUACAGAAAGGGGUUGCAUCAUGAGGCACUGAUGAGGUGAGAUGAUGCAGUGGUGUCAUGAGGGUGGAAUCUGCAUAUUCUGCUGGAAUUAACAGACAAACGCCAAGCUGAGCUCCUCUGUCACUCCUGCGUUCUUAGAUCUUUUUGCCAUCUUAUUUGUGAUUCAGCCUUUUGAGGCAACCUGGAUUUGUCUGUUUUUUUCCACAACUGAAUCAGUUCUCAUCUGCCACGUUAUUCUUUGCCUGAAUUUCCACAAUCGGUGUCUAGACAAAUAUCACUGCUUUGCAAGGAAGGCAAGUGGAAAAGCACUUUUUUACUCCAGAGUAUCUCAGGAGCUUUUUCUAGGGAGGAGAAAGUACACUCUCUUCUUUGAACCACCGUACAGAUAUCUAAAAUCAGACCGUGGUAGACAGAGAUAGGCACAUGGUGUGUAGGAAAUACCACUAUUCAGGUAGGGCGGCACCAACGCAGUGCUCGGCUGUGUCUGAGUCUCUAUAAAUCAGCUAGACAUCCAGCAGGCAGAACAGUACAAAAAGGUCUGCCAGAAAGCACUCAAAUACAGAAAAAGAAGAGACUUUAUGAAUUCAGCUACCAUGCGCAUUGAGGUCAGCAAGGAGGAAGGCAGAAGGAACAUUAACAUAAGCAGAGCCAUUUAUUAAAACACUGCAGCCCUGAGAAAGCAGAGUAGGAAUUGCUGAUUCAGAGAUCAUGUCCAAACAACUGCCAGACAGGGGACUUCCCUUGUUCUCUGCCUCUGACCUCCACUCAUACUUUUGCUGUUCUGUUUUAUAUCUAUAUGUUGUGGCUCCCCAAGCCCUCAGAGCUGAGUUUCCCUGCAAUAUUUUUAUGUAAUGCAUUUAUUUUAACAGCUUCCCUACACGGACUGGUGGCAGUUCUUUGGGGACGAGGCCAUUUUUCACAGUUUAGUGCUGCAGAGACAAUAAAAACAGAGUUAAAACAGAUUAGAGUUUGACUCUACUAUAUAUCAGGGAAAAUCUUACUGGAAACCUCAGACGGAUGCACAGUAAAAAGCCCUAAGCAUGCUGCUUCUGUGAUAUAUUUGCCUGAAAUUGCUAGAAGACUCAUAUAACUUUUUCCCUGUUUGCACUUCAGAAUAGAUUGCUUUGCUUCUUGAUCCAAAGUUGAGCAGUUCAUGCUUUAAAAACUGCAAACCAAGGAGCAUUGAAUG